UUUCCGUAGGUGAACCUGCGGAAGGAUCAUCAACAAAAAUCCAAACCACUUUUUUAUCCACCGUGUGAACCCGGGAAAUGUUUAGAUUUGUUGUUAAAAAGAAGGAGGAGAUUUUCGGAACCUGUGGGUUUCGUAAUCCUUUUAAACUUCCUUUUUUUUUUUUGAAUCCGGCUAGUGCUGAGAAAGAAAGAAAUUUUUUGAUCAAGUCUCUUUGUCCGUCUUUUCCCACUUUUUUAACCUUGUUUUCUUUGUUUGACUGAUUGUCUUUUUCGUAAAUGAAAAAAAAUACAUCUCUGUACAAUGGGUCUCUUGGUUCUCGCAUCAAUGAAGAACGCAGC
rnacentral:misc_RNA from 1 species